CUCUGUUGCCUGUCACUCAGACUCUGCCUCACCCAUUCAACAAUAUUGGAAUCCAAACUUAAAGAUUGCAGUUUAUUGAUAAGCCUUCUAUGUGCAACAGUGUCAAAAGCCUUACUGAAAUCUAGGUAAGCAAUGUCUACUGCACCACCCUGAUCUAUUAUUUUAGUUACCCAAUCAAAAAAAUCAAUAAGAUUAGUUUGGCAUGAUCUCCCUGAAGUAAACCCAUGUUGUCUCUGAUCUUGAAAUCCAUGUCUUUUUAGAUGUUCAACAAUCCUAUCCUUUAACAUGGUUUCCAUUACUUUCCCCACUACUGAAAUAAGGCUUACUGGCCUAUAGUUGCCCGACUCCUCCCUACUACCUUUCUUGUGGAUGGG